UGAUUCAUUGAUUCGAAUCACUGUCCCAGUUUGAUUCAGCUGAAUCAGAUCCAAAGAUUCGGCGCCUGGUCAGAGAUUCGAGCAUAGACUAAACAAGCAGCAGUCCUUAACACUGGACACAGCUGUCUCCAGCUGCUGUACAGAGACUGCUCCCUGCUCCCAGAUGACCAUGAGUGACAGGAAGAACCAUCAGUCACCAUACACUUAGUGCCACUUAGCCCCUCCAUUCCAUGGACUAGCACAGAUAAUGAAGCAGAGGAGGUAGAGGGUCAGGAAGAAACCCAUGCAGCCAAUACAUCACCUACUGUUACCAAGACCCAAGAACAUACUGGACCUGAUAGUACAGGCAGUGGCAGCUGUGGACCUGUUUCCAAAACAAGUACUU